GUGCUUGCUUCGGCAGCACAAAUACUAAAAUUAGAGCAAUACAGAGAUUAGUAUAGCCCCUGCACAAGGAUGACAUGCAAAUUUGUGAAGCAUUCCAUAUUUUA
rnacentral:snRNA from 1 species